ensembl:lncRNA
GAAACAAGUGUACAAAUCUGAAGUAAAGAAAACAUUACUAGGGGAGAAUCUUGAAAUAGAAAGAUGCUCAAGAUCUAAGCCAGGAACGUCUCAGGCAUGGAAUGAGCAAACAUAGCCUUUGUGUGCAAAGACCUUGGGAGGACUUGAAGAAUCACUGCAAGUUCAAGUCUGAGGAUUUGUUAUAAGCCUAGAAGAACUUAUUAUCAUUCCAGCUAACCAUUCAUGUUCCAACUAUCUCUAUGGAUAAGCUGCUCUUUGGACUACUCAGAAAGUUUGGUAAAAUGCUCAGGUCAUGCACGCCUUUAUUGGAUAAGUGACCAGUGCUGUGGAUGACAUCACCAAUAUGAUCAACAUCUUCAAAAACUCAUUUUCUUGGGAAUUCCAUCAAGAAGGUCUGCUCUGCCUAUCACCACAGACUCUAGUCUUCAGCUGGGGCAGAACCCCCUGUGCCUUACUAUUUGCCACUUGUCAAGUCCACAAUGAUAUUGGCAAGUCAGCACCAGGUCUGAACUCUACUCUCUUUGUGGAACGGGAACUCUUUUCAGAAGACUUUGCUUUUUCUCAUAAGCUGACCCAGAAAAUCAAGUAUCUGGCCCCUUUUACCCCUGUGAUGGAGGAGAGCAUUCUUGGGAAUAGAUGUCAAGUGAACCAACCUGUGGGAUUUACCUCUAUUAGGGAGGCGACUACUUCAUGUGAUGCAGGAUCAGCCUGGAGUAGACCUAAAGACAGAUAUUUUUUCAACUGCCCAAUUUGUUGA